AAGACAUUGUGUCUUCGAGUCGUUGAUUUCACACUGCCGAGAAAAGCCUCUAGAUAGAAAAUAGGUGCCCGUACCGCAAACCGACACAGGUAGUCAAGAUGAGAAUUCUAAGGUGAGCGAGCGAACUCUCGUUAAGGAACUCGGCAAAAUGACCCCGUAACUUCGGGAGAAGGGGUGCUCUUUAGGGUUAACGCCCAGAAGAGCCGCAGUGAAUAGGCCCAAGCGACUGUUUAUCAAAAACACAGGUCUCUGCUAAACCGUAAGGUGAUGUAUAGGGGCUGACGCCUGCCCGGUGCUGGAAGGUUAAGAGGAGUGGUUAGCUUCUGCGAAGCUACGAAUCGAAGCCCCAGUAAACGGCGGCCGUAACUAUAACGGUCCUAAGGUAGCGAAAU
rnacentral:rRNA from 1 species